GACGAACGCUGGCGGCGUGCUUAACACAUGCAAGUCGAACGCUGAAGCCCUUUCGGGGGUGGAUGAGUGGCGAACGGGUGAGUAACACGUGGGUAAUCUGCCCUGCACUCUGGGAUAAGCCUUGGAAACGGGGUCUAAUACCGGAUAGGACACAUCGCCGCAUGGUGUGUGUGGAAAGUUCCGGCGGUGCAGGUUGAGCCCGCGGCCUAUCAGCUUGUUGGUGGGGUGAUGGCCUACCAAGGCGACGACGGGUAGCCGGCCUGAGAGGGUGACCGGCCACACUGGGACUGAGACACGGCCCAGACUCCUACGGGAGGCAGCAGUGGGGAAUCUUGCGCAAUGGGCGAAAGCCUGACGCAGCAACGCCGCGUGGGGGAUGACGGCCUUCGGGUUGUAAACCUCUUUCGACCGGGACGAAGGGUGACUGACGGUACCGGUAGAAGAAGCACCGGCUAACUACGUGCCAGCAGCCGCGGUAA
rnacentral:rRNA from 1 species